CUGCAUGUUUUGGCCCUAGGCCAUCGUUGGCCCCUCUGUAUUUCUGUAGAGGGGGCAAGUACAAACAUGCUAGAUCAACACUUUGGAGUUAACAGGGCCACCAGUCUCUCAAGGUCAGGCUGAGUUGGUAGUAUAAUACUCCAACACUG